GAGAGUAAGGCAUAGUCGGUUAAGAGCUAACUAUGUUUGAUAGUAUCACAAGAGGAAGGGACGGCUAACUUCGUGCCAGCAGCCGCGGUAAUACGAAGGUCCCGAGCGUUAUUCGGAAUCACUGGGCGUAAAGAGUACGUAGGCGGUUUGGUAAGUCAGGUGUGAAAUCCCGGAGCUCAACUCCGGAACUGCAUCCGAUACUGCUAGACUAGAGUAAUGGAGAGGCAGGUGGAAUUCUCGGUGUAGCAGUGAAAUGCGUGGAUAUCGAGAGGAAGACCAAUGGCGAAGGCAGCCUGCUGGACAUUUACUGACGCUGAGGUACGAAGGCCAGGGUAGCGAAAGGGAUUAGAUACCCCUGUAGUCCUGGCAGUAAACGGUGCGCGCUUGGUGUAGGAGGACUCGACCCCUUCUGUGCCGGAGCUAACGCGUUAAGCGCGCCGCCUGGGGAGUACGGUCGCAAGACUAAAACUCAAAAGAAAUUGACGGGGACCCGCACAAGCGGUGGAGUAUGUGGCUUAAUUCGAUGCAACGCGAAGAACCUUACCCAGACUUGACAUGUAUUGCUAAACCGGUGAAAGCCGGGG
rnacentral:rRNA from 1 species